GGAAGAAAUAGUUCCAACUUGCAGAGAAUUAGGAAUUGGAAUUGUUCCGUAUAGUCCUCUCGGACGAGGAUUCUUCUCAGCAGGUCCAGAGUUGAUUGAGAGCUUGGCCGAGGGAGACUUCCGCAAGAAUAUACCAAGGUUCAAGCCUGAAAAUUUUGAGCACAACAAGCAAAUAUACGAGCAAGUCAAGGAAAUAGCAUCAAGAAAGGGAUGCACCACAUCACAACUUGCAUUGGCUUGGAUUCUUCACAAAGGAGAUGACAUAUGCCCCAUACCCGGUACCACCAAGAUUGACAAUCUCAACGAAAAUAUCGAAGCCAUAUCUGUAAAGCUGACAAUUGAUGAAAUGAUGCAGUUAGAGUCCUGUGCUGCUGAAGAUAUGGUUAAAGGCGAAAGGCACGCAUUCAUGUGGGCAACUUGGAUAAAUUCGGAGACUCCACCAUUGUCCUCCUGGAUAGAUGAAUAAUGGAUACUUUCUCGUCUUGCUUUGGAAGAAGCCUCCGUUAAGGCCCAAGUCUAAUUCGAAGUAAAGGCUGAACCAGGCAAUGUAGUUUUCUCGUAUUCUGAACUCAUUUUGCUAGUGCAUACCUUU
rnacentral:misc_RNA from 1 species